GCUGUCUAUCUUGCCGCCCAGUGAAAUGUAUCAUGGGAAUGCUUCUUCCGCUUCUCCGAAUGCGCCUCUGAUUCGCUGACCCGGAGAGGGUAAAGGAGCAAGAGCGUCAGCGUUGCAUCGGAUCCCCGCUCUCCGCUCCUCGCUUCCCGCUCCGUCGGAGGCACCGAGCUCAGCCCCGUAAAGACCCUGCUCUUCCCCAGCAGCAGAUGGAGGCCAAGGAGGGCCCGACUUCUGGCUUCCUCAUGGCCCCCUUUCAGGAGCCGGUGACCUUCCGUGACGUGGCCGUGGACUUCACCUGGGAGGAGUGGAGGGUCCUGGAGCCAGCCCAGAGGGCCCUGCACAGGGACGUGAUGCUUGAGAACUUCCAGAACCUGGUCUCUGUGGGGAUUCCUGUUUCCAGACUGGAUGUGAUCUCCCUGUUGGAGAAGCAAGAAGGAGCCUGGAGUCCCGAGAGCAGAGACUCCAGUGGGUCUCAUCAAGAUUCCCUUAGCAACGAAAUCAAAUUUGAAACAAGGAGCUCAAGUCUGAUGCAGAACAUUUCUUUAGAAGCAUCAUCCAGAAAGAUACUUCCAAUGGGCACAGCCUGGCACUGCAAGAUAGAGAAAUCUGGAGAAUAUGAUAUUGAUUUAGAAAAACCAAAAGACAUCUUGGAGAGACGAUUCAGACAAAUAACAGUCACUCCUAGAACAACUCUUAAUAAAGGAAGUGGAGCUCAGAGUAAUCUAUUUGGGAGAAGAUUUAGCUUUGGACCAGUCUUUUCACUGUGGAGAGGAACAAUGGGGAAUCAUCUCUAUAAUUAUAAGACACUCGGAAGAGGCAUCAAACAUUUUCCUGGUCUGAUUACUUAUAAUCCAUCCUUCUUAGGGAAGAAUUUUUCUAUGUAUACCAAAUGUAAGAAGCCCUUUAGGUACCACUCAGAUCUCAUUAAAUUUCAUAGAAUACAUGCUGGAGAGAAACAGUGUAAACAGAAGACAGGUGGCAAAGCCAUUGGCAGAAGGUCAGAUCUGAUUGACUGUCAGAGCAGAGACACAUAUGAGUGUAAGCAAUAUGAGAAAGCCUUCAGUUAUAGAGGAAGUUUGACUAAAUCUAAAAGAAUUCAUAUUAGAGAGAAACUUUUUGAAUGUGAUGAAUUUGAAAAAAUCUUCAGUGAAAAUGACUAUAUUGUGCAUCAAGAAAUUGAGAGUAGAGAGAAACCCUUUGAAUGUAACAAAUGUGGGAAAAUCUUCAGUAAGAAGGGAAACUUUAAUAAACAUCAGAGAAUUCAUACUGGAGAGAAGCCAUUUGAAUGUAAUGAAUGUGGAAAGGCUUUCAGUGAGAAAGGAAACCUCAAUGUGCAUCAAAGAAUUCAUACUGGAGAGAAACCUUUUGAGUGUAAUGAAUGUGGAAAAGCUUUUAGUCGAAAGGAAAAUCUUAUUCCCCAUCAGAGAAUUCAUACUGGAGAGAAACCCUUUACGUGUAACGAAUGUGGGAAAGCUUUCAUUGGCAGGGCAACCUUUAGUGCACAUCAGAGAAGUCAUACUGGAGAGAGACCCUUUCCGUGUAAUGAAUGUGGGAAAGCUUUCAGUACAAGGGGAAGCUACAAAAGACAUGAAAGAAUUCAUACUGGAGAGAAACCCUUUCCAUGUAAUGAAUGUGGGGAAGCUUUCAAUACGAGUGGCAACCUCAAUAGACACCAAAGAACGCAUACUGGAGAGAGACCCUUUGCAUGUAAUCAGUGUGGGAAAGCCUUUGGUGUGAGGGGAAACCUCAUUGCACAUAUGAUGACUCAUACUGGACUGAAACCCUUUGAAUGUAGUAAAUGUGGAAAAGACUUUAGCAGGAGGGAAGGACUUAUGAAUCAUCAGAGAACUCAUACUGGAGAGAAGCCUUUUGAAUGUAAUGAAUGUGGGAAAGCUUUUAGAGAAAAGGGAAAUCUUAUUACCCAUCAGAGGAUUCAUACUGGAGAGAAACCCUUUAACUGUAAUAAAUGUGGAAAAGCCUUUACUGCUGGGGGAAACCUCAGUACACAUCAAAGGGUUCAUACAGGAGAGAAACCAUUUUCAUGUAAUGAAUGUGGGAAAGCCUUUAGCCAAAAGGCCAAACUUAUUACUCAUCAGAGUACUCAUACUGGAAAGAGACCCUUUUCAUGUAAUGAAUGUGGGAAAACAUUUAACAGAAAGGAAUGUCUCAUUAGUCAUCAGAAAAUUCACUGGAGAGAAACCAUUUCAAUGUAAUGAAUGAGGGAAAGCCUUUGGCCAGAAGGAAUAUCUUAUUGAACAUCUGAGAAUUCAUGUUAGAGAGAAACCAUCUGAAUGUAACAAAUGUAGAAAAGUAUUUAGUUAGAGGAGAAACAUUAUACAUCAGAAAAAAACACAAUGUAUUAAAGAUCCUUUGCUUUUAAUGGAUGUGGGAAAACUUUCAGCAACAUGAGAAAGCUAAAAAUGCAGCAGAGAAUACAUACUGGGGAGAAACCAUUUGAGUGCAGUGAAUGUGGGAAAGCCUGUAUGUAACUAGAGUGUAUACUUUAUCAUCAGAGAACUCAUACUACAGAGACCCUUUUCAUAUAGUGAUUAUGGGAAAACUUUCCUUUGGAGGCCAAGUAUUAUUUAUCAGAGGAGUCAUACUGGAGAAAAACCCAUAUAAUGCAUGAAUGCGGGAAAAGUCUUUAGCAUUUAGAUUUAAAAACCAUCAGAGAACUCUUGAGUAUUCAUCCUGGAGAAGAAGCUUUUGUUGUGAAUCUAGGAAUGCCUCUGGCUGAAAGACAAAUCUUAUUACACAUCGAAAACUCAUAUAGGAAAGAAAUCCUUUGAUUAUAAUGGAUGGAAAAGGGUUCAUCAAAACAUACUGGAUAAAAUGGAAUACAACGAAUAAAUCAAGCAUUUAUCAAGUGCUUACAGUAAUAUCAGACAAUGUGCUAAAUACUGGGGAUACAAAGGUAAAAGAGAACUAGUCCUUUCCCUCUUAAGAGUUUACAUUCUAAUGAGGAAGACAACCCUUGGAUAUAUAAGUAUAUAUGUGGCAUGUGCUAAAUUAAUACAAGUUAGUUUAGGGAGGGCACUAAUGACUAGGACAUCAAGAAUCCACAUAUAAGGUUGUACUUGAACUGACACUGAAGGAAACAGGAAUUCUGGGGGAUGGAAGGAAGGAGGGAACGACUUUGAGACAUAGAGAAGAACCAUCCUGAAAACUCAAAAACAAGAAAUAUAAUUGCCCAAUAUGUUAGUCUUGCAAAGUUUGAGAAGGCAAGUGAUAUCUAAAGAGAUUGGAAAGAUAGGAAGGGAUCAGAUGUAAAAGGUUUAAAUACCAAACUGAAGAAUUUUUUUUGAAGUGUUUUAUGAAUCCCUCAUUUUGUCUACAGCCCUGGGAGGUAGGUUUUGUAGAUGAGGAAGCAAAGACAGUCUGAGGUUAUGUGUCUUCUAGUGAAACUAGACUUGAAAUUCAGGUUACCCUGACUUUACUUUCAGUGCUCUAACCACUGUACACUUGCUUGAGUCAUUAAGGAGCUACUGUAGUGUGAGAAAGGUUUGGGUGAGAGGAAAAGUGCUUUCAUGAUCAAACUGGGUAACUUUUAAGGCUGUGAAGAGAAAGCAUUGUCAUGGAGAGAGAAUACAGGGAAAUACGCUAUGAAGUUAUUGCAGUACAGGUGCAGGAUGAGGAAGAAAUGCAUUAGGAUUUAUCAUUUGCAUUGUCAAAUGCGUACCUAAUGCAUUUUAGGAUGGUGGCUUUGUGAGUGAAGAGAAGGGGAUGUUUCUGAGGACAUUGCAAAGAUAAAAAUGGCAGCUUGACGAUAGAUUUCAUUUGUGGGUUGAGUAUGAAUGCAGAGCAAAGGAAAACACCAAGUUUUUGAACCUGGGUGAGUAGGAGAAUGGCAAUAUCCUAAUCACUUAUAGAAUUAUUAGGGAGAAAUUAGGAUUUGGGGGCAUGUAAUAAAACAUUUUGGAUGUGUUUGAGAUGCCUGUAGGACAUUCAUUUAGAAAUGUCCAUUACCUGGAUCAGGAAAUAAGGUGGAACUAAGGAGAAAGAGUGAGCAGGACCUAUAGGUUGCAGAUUUAUCUGAAUACAAAUGACAUUUGAAUCAAUGAGAGGUGUUGAGAUCACUAAGUAAUAUAGUAUUGAGAAAGAGAAAAGACCAGGAUAGAGUUUUAGGUGCACAUACAUUUAAUGAUCAUGACAGGGAAAAUCAUCAGCAAGGGAGACUGAGGAGAACUAUAUUCCAGGUAAGAAGAGAAUCAGUGUUAGGAAAACACAGAGAUGGUUAGCGUAUUCAAGAGGAGAUUGGUAGUAGUAGUAUCAAAUGCUUAAAAAAAAAAAAAUCAAAUAAGUUAAAAAGGGCAUUGACCUUGCCAAUUAAGCAAUCACUGGGAGAGGAGAGCACAUGAAGUCUCUGAGAAGGGAGAACUUUCUCCAAGUUGUUUUGUCAAGAAUGAAAAGAACUCUGAGAAUAGCAGAAGUGCCGAUAUCUUUGGGAAAGUGAUGGUGCUUAGUGGGACUUUGCCAUGUGUGUAGGCAAGAGGAAGGAGUGCAUGUGGGAAAGUCAUCAGUGAUGAGAAAGCUUGUUAGAGAACUGAUACUGGAGAAAAACUCCUUUGACUAGUACGUUAAAAUAAAUUAUAUUAAAAUCAACAACAUUUGAUUAUGGAAUGAUGAAACAAAUUAUGACAUGUGGAUAUAAUGCAAUAUCCUGUGCCGUAAGAAUACAAAGAAUUAAAUAUAUAAAAUAUGAAAAAGAAGGAAUAAGAAAUAAGCUACAGGAACAUAAAUAGAAACAACAACAAAACAACCCAGUGCUGUAUAAUUAUAAUUAUACAAGAGAAUGAAAGAAUGUACCUUCCUCCCCUAGCAGAAAAGGAGGAGACUGGAUGAUUAAACACAUUGCAUGGCUCUGGCCAUCUUCCUGCCAUGUUUCUUUGCCCCAUCUUCACACUUUCCAUUUUAGAGCCAGGAAAUACAAAUCCAUCAGUAUCCUUAUAGUCUUCUGUAUCUAUCACUUUUUAAAACAAAUCUUGCCUCCAUAGCCACCAUUCUUCAUAUGCAUAUUUGCAUAUUAGAAUGACAGCUCCUUAAGGAAGGUAUGGUAUUGCUUUUUGUAUUUUUACCCCUAAUGCUUAACACAGUGCCUGGCAAGUAAGAAGCAUUUAAUAAAUGGGUUUUUCAUUUGUUCAUUGCAUGCAUUAUAAAACUUGCUAGAUGUGGUGAUGGCCUAAAAGUGCAGAAGGAGACAUUUGUUUCCACUAAUAACAUGGAAUUGCUUUUGCUUAGCUAUGCCUAUUCUGAGAAGGGCUUUUCUUGGCAGCAAUAGGUAUAAGAAGGACUGGAUGAAUUUUCAUGCCAAAAAAAUAAGUAAUGCCAGGAAAGAGCAAAAGAACAUUGAAAAAGGGAUAGUGAUAUACAUAGUAGUGAUGGUAUUAACCAACUAAAUUUAAUAUAUAAAUUUUUUAAAUCUAUGUAUAAUAAACAUCACUAGUUUCAUAUCUGAUCUUUCUGUUUUUUGUAUAUUAAAAUGUCAGUGUUUGUUAUUAAUGAGAAGUUUAUAAUUUAAAAAACUGAACUAAUUUUCCCUCUUAAAUGUUACACAGGACAGCUUUCUAUGUUAGUUAUAGAAAAGUUCUUAUGAAAUUAAAUAUCCAAAAAAUAUGUGAAAUCAAUUCUGUCAUAUUUUAAGUACCAUUUUUUGUGUGUUUGUUUUACCAAGCACUGUGCUAAAUGUUAGAAAUACAAGUACUAAGGAUGAAAUUCCCUAUUAGAAAUUGCAUUCUAAUAUGGGAGACAUUUAUGUGUGUAUAUAUAUGUAACAGAAUGCAUGUAAAGUUGACUAUACACAUACAAAGUUAUUAAAUUUAACAUGAUGUGUGGAAGGUCAUUAAAUCAUUCAGGGAUGAGGAAAAUCUUCCUGCAGAAGAUGGUACCCAAGCUACAUCCUAAAGGGAGAGACUGACUACUAAAUAGAGAGUCACUAAACUGGAAGAUCAGGAAAAAAUAUGGUGACCCAUAAAAACAUAAGAGUGGCAAAACAGCUGAUGUUGCUCAUGAAACUAAGCUAGACACUAGUUCAAUUAAAUAGAUCCCAAAAUGGGUUUAAGAUCAUUCCAUAAGAGUCAUUAGUGAUGUAAUAUAAUGUUUAAAAAUUUGCAGUAGAAAAAUUCUGGAAAUUUUACUAUUAGAAUAUUUUUGUGAGUGACUUAAAUGAAAACAAAUGAACUUUGGUUAUCCAAUUUUCAGAUGACACAAAUCUGGUAGGGAGAGUGACCAUGGUUUUGUUGAUAAGUGUCCAGAACAGCAGGAUAAAUUUCAAAGAAUCAAAUAAGAUUAACAGUUAGGUCUUACAUUUGGAUCUUAAACAAAUUUUCAAAAAUCCAAGAUGAGGUUUAGGGGGAGCAUCAAAGUUUGGUCCAACAACAAUUGGAACCAGAUUUAUGAUGUUUUGUUACUUUAAAUCUCUAUAUGAGACAGUAGCUUAAUAUAUCAACAACAACAAUGCACAAAAAUAUCUUAUGACCUUGUUGUGGUGCUUUAAGAGAGUUUCCAGAAAUGGGCAAGUUUCAUUAUCCUCUGCCCUACCUUAACCAUAUAUGAAGUCGUGUUCAGUGCAGGACAACAGGAGGGUAUUCCUGGGCCUUUUUUCUUAAGGAGGGCAGUCUAGUGUUUUUAGCCUGGAGAAAAGACCCUAGAGGGACUCCUAGCCAUCUUUUAAGUAUCUGAAUGACUGUCAUUUGAAGGAGGAAUUAGAAUGAUCCUUCUUGACUCCCAAAAGUGGAAUUAAAAAUAAUGGGUGUAAGCUCCCUAAGGGGAACUUUAUAUUUAAAAAAAAAAAAAAAUCAGAAAAAGUUAUUUCUUUUAAGGCCUUUUUUAUAUGGAGAAAUUAAUGGGGGGAAAGUGUUAUUGUAUAAAUGAAGUGAUUUGUAUUAUUUGAGAGUGUGGGACAUUGCCCCUCUUGUGGAGAAACACUUUUAAUCUAACUUCUAUGCACAAAGAAACAGCUUUCAGGUGGAAUCAUGGAUAAAUGUAGAGAGAAAAAUCAUCUAUGGUCUAGACCUGAGGAGUUGGAUCUUGGUGCCAACAAAAUGGAGUGAGGCCUUAUUUAUGUGCAAACAGUUAACAAUAAUGAAGAAGUAGAUAAUGCCUUUUUAAUUAUUAAUUUUUUAUUUAUUAAAAACUAGAGAAAUGUGAAGAAUUAUUAUCUUAAGACACCAAAGAAAUCAACCGACUUGCUGGAGAUUUCAGAGCUAAAGUUUGGUCGACACCUUCCCCAUUGUGCAUAUAUGUAUAUUAUGUGUACAGAGGAAAAACGAAACAUCCUAGAAACAUUUGUAGGUGGAGGUAUGAUAGAAAAAUGACUCUGGGUUUGAUGGGAGAAAUUGGUAGUUUCUUUUGGUAGCCUUUUCCAAUAAAAGGCGAAUUCCCGAGGCUCUUAUUUAAGUCAUUGAAUAAAACCUCCAAACGGAAGAAAGCAACAGCACAGCUGUGAUGCUGAACAGAUGCUGGAUGGGAGUUAUGGCCCUUCAAAGGAAGCAGCUGAGAAAAGCCAGCUGAGUGAUUGGUGAUGGAUUGGAGAGAAUGAUGUCCUUGGCCCUGAGAAAGCCACCUUCCAGGUGACAGUCAUGCAUUUCAUUACAAAUGGUUGCCCUGGAAAGAAGCAGAAGUGUUACCAGGGCUGUGGUAACCCAUGCCUGGGAGCUGGCCCAAAGAGUCAGGGGUUCUGGUUGGACAACACUGGUGUCCAGGCAACUGGCUGGUCUGGUCCCUGGGCCUCAGAGAAAACCAGUGUUUUGUUUGCUGAUUCUCUGACUUAAAAAAGGACUGAAAAGGGAAAGGAAACCUUUCUAAACACUCUGUCAGAGGUGGCUCAUCGAAAGAGUUUUGAAGACCGGGUUCCUGCAGAGAGAUGUCCCCAGCAGAAGGUCCGGGAGAUCAGAGAUGGCUGGGCCCACUCUCCGACUGCAGGUGGUCCUCCAAGCAUGUGCCCGUUCUUCACCGGAGCUAUUGCAUCUUCUGGUGGAAGAGGUGAUCUGGAUUUGUAUCUGUAUGUCACUGUUUAUAUAAUAAUAAUACAAGGUGUGUAUUUA